rnacentral:rRNA from 1 species
GUGGGGAAUAUUGGACAAUGGGGGCAACCCUGAUCCAGCAAUGCCGCGUGUGUGAAGAAGGCCUGAGGGUUGUAAAGCACUUUUGUUAGGGAGGAGGGUUGAUUGGUUAAGAGCUGAUUAGCUGGACGUUACCUAAAGAAAAAGCACCGGCUAACUCCGUGCCAGCAGCCGCGGUAAUACGGAGGGUGCGAGCGUUAAUCGGAAUUACUGGGCGUAAAGGGUGCGUAGGUGGUUUAAUAAGUUAGCUGUGAAAGGGCUGGGCUUAACCUGGCAAGGUCAUCUAAGACUGUUGAACUUGAGUAUAGGAGAGGGUAGUGGAAUUUCCGGUGUAGCGGUGAAAUGCGUAGAGAUCGGAAGGAACAUCGGUGGCGAAGGCGGCUACCUGGCCUAAUACUGACACUGAGGCACGAAAGCGUGGGGAGCAAACAGGAUUAGAUACCCUUGUAGUCC